UACAGAGGGUGCAAGCGUUAAUCGGAGUUACUGGGCGUAAAGGGCGCGUAGGCGGUGAACUGUGUGUGAUGUGAAAGCCCCGGGCUUAACCUGGGAAGUGCAUCGCAAACUAGUUGACUGGAGUAGAUGAGAGGGUGGCGGAAUUUCCGGUGUAGCGGUGAAAUGCGUAGAGAUCGGAAGGAACGUCGAUGGCGAAGGCAGCCACCUGGCAUCAUACUGACGCUGAGGCGCGAAAGCGUGGGGAGCGAACAGG
rnacentral:rRNA from 1 species